AACCUGGUUGAUGCCUGCCAGUAGUCAUAUGCUCGUCUUAAAGAUUAAGCCAUGCAUGUCUCAGUAUAAGUCUUUACACGUCGAAACUGCGAAUGGCUCAUUAAAACAGUUAUAGUUUAUUUGAUGGUCACCUGUUAUUUGGAUAACUGUGGUAAUUCUAGAGCUAAUACAUGCACAAAAACGCGACUUCUCGGAAGCGUUGUGUUUAUUAGAUACAGAACCAAUCCGGCUUGCCGGUCUUUGGAUGAUUCAUAAUAAAUGAACGGAGCGCAUGACUUGUGUCGGCGCUGUGUCAUUCAAGUUUCUGACCUAUCAGCUUUCGACGGUAGGGUAUUGGCCUACCGUGGCAUUGACGGGUAACGGAGAAUUAGGGUUCGAUUCCGGAGAGGGAGCCCGAGAAACGGCUACCACAUCUAAGGAAGGCAGCAGGCGCGCAAAUUACCCAAUCCCAACACGGGGAGGUAGUGACAAGAAAUAACAAAGCAAGCUGGAAUUCCAGUUCUGCUAUUGGAAUGAGUAGAAAUUAAAGCUCUUUACGAAUUCAAUUGGAGGGCAAGUCUGGUGCCAGCAGCCGCGGUAAUUCCAGCUCCAAUAGC
rnacentral:rRNA from 1 species